rnacentral:lncRNA from 1 species
UCCAGAAAGGGUGCGCUCCGGGAGCGAGGGGACUGCUCUGAGUUGCCACCGGGUGAGCCAGCUUGAUUUUUGGCGAGCUCCGCUCCGCUCUCUCCUACCUCUGCCUCUCGCCACGGCCCCGCGCAGCCUCCGCUCCAAUUCGCCCCGGCGCUCCCGCUCCGCGUUAUCCCUUGCAGAGUCUCCGCUGCCGCUGAUGCAUCAGAGCGAGGGGCUCUUGCUAUUCGCCUUUUGCAUAAAGGUUUUUUUUUUUUUUUCCUCCUUUUCCUCCUCUCUCCCUCCCUUCUCUGCCUCCUCUCUCUUUUUGCAGCUUGCAAACUGCAGCUGGAAGUGUUAGCUGGUGGUGUUGCGAGUAAAUUUGUUGUUGUUGGUUUGUUUUGUUAUUUUUAACACUUCAUGGUGCCUUUCCUCUGGGCUUUCUCAUGCAAAGUGCAGAGCGAGAAGAGACGUUCAUCGGGGAAGGGAGGAGGGAAAAAGAGAAGCGAAGGCAAAAAAAAAGAAAACAAGAAAAACAAAAAAUCAAAGUCUGUAUCGCAACUAAAAUAACAAAAACAGUUUAAAAAGAAGAAAAAGGGGGGAAACAACGCAAAAACACUCGACCCCAAAGCUACAGCAAGAAGAUGAAAAAUAUUUUAAAGGUUUCAUCCAGCAGGAGAGUUUAAAAGCAUUGCUGAGUUUUAUAGCGCUCCUGACGUCAAAUGGGAAAUUGGCUCGGCCGCCGGGCCAAUGGGCUGCCGCCUCCCGGCCCUCAUUAGCAUAAUAGUAUAGAAACAAGGAAACUUUUCGGAGCUGUCAAUCAGGGCCCCAUCAGCUGACUGUCAGCUGGGGAGCGCCUUAACCCCUUCCUACCCACCGCCGCCCGCCGCACUCACUGGGCAAACGGGUGCGGGACGGGGCCGCGGAGGGGGCCGCUGCUCUUCGCUAUCGCGCCGGCCUCCCCUCCCGCACCCCCCCAUCCUCCGGGAGGGGGAUGGGGCCGGGGCAGGGGGGGGCUGUGGAAGCGGCGAGCGGGCUGGACGCGGAGCUGCGGAUCGGCUCGGUUUAAACCUCGACAGCGCCAUCUCUCGUCGAAAGUGGUGUUACAGAAACACAGAACAACCCUGUAUCAGAGAAGAGGGGAAAGAAGCUGCAGCAAAGGAGCAGAAUCAAUUACUUACUUCCCAAUGGACUUGGCUGAGACUGUGCCACUGCAGCCUUUGCUCCAGCUGCGUUCCUGCUGACCUGGUCCAUGCCAUGAAUAGAAAACCCCAACUCUAUUGACUUCAAGAACUGCAGGAUUGAAUCCUUGAUCCUAUUGAAACCAAUGACAAAACUUGUAUUGAUUGCAAUGGAAGCAGGAUCGGGUCCUUAAUGUUAGCAAUUUGUUUAAGUCAGAGGGCUACAAGAAGUGAAGGACAUCAGCAGAUCUGCUGGCAAGAAUACAGGUAAGCUCCCCAAAAUUUAAAGGUAAAAUUCACUUGUGGUAGGUCAUCUUUACACUCAGGUAUUACCUUCUGUGUGCUGGGAUGCCUGUGUAUUUUGUCUGGACGCAUAAAGUCAGUCCUCCUGGGAGCCUUCAAAUGAGCACAUCUAUAAAUGUAGUGCAAUAAAAUGAGCUACUUUUGCCACUCGUGCUUUUCGCAAGCCCGGUACAAUCCAUUUCUGUGACGACAGUUUUCUGCCCCACACGCAUCUGAUACUGCUCUUUUAUUUUAAGGCUGAGAAAAUCUUCCCUUUAAACUCAUGCUGAGCAUCAAAUUGGACUCCACUUGCAGCUGAACAUCUUGACUGUCUCUUCCUUUCCUCCAUCAGCUCCAGUAUAUUUUGUGUAGAAUUCUCUCUGUUAAUAAAACUUACUUCUCCCUUAAUUCUGCAGUUUUGCAUUAGUGUUACUGAAGCCACCAUACCUGCCCUGUUUGAAAAUUGUACAAAGGAGAAGGGGGAAAAAAAGUGGUUUUUGUUUUUUUUUUUUUCCUGUACAAUCUCCUACUUUGCCAUUCUGCACAGAUUCUAAACGUACAUUCUCUACUCAUUUGACUGUAAAGUCUCUGUUGCUAAAUUAGAGUAAAAGUAGCUUGAAAAGGCAGGCUUAAACACAUAUUUUGGUUGCUUUUGUGUCACAUCCAAGAGGGCUUGUGUUUUAUCUCUGGGAAUUGCAAGGUAUUAGCAGCUGCUUAGAUUUUAUUCCCCUGGAAGUGCCUGACAGUCACUAUAUGGAAGAUGCAGCAUCGGUGCUACACCUGAGUGAGUGAGUUUGCUCUGGGUAUCCUGAGUCCAAAUGAGGUGACGGCUUUUUAGCAAUCAAAAUAUUUCCAUUGCUUGCUUAUAACAUUUGUAAAAUGCUAGAAAUAGUCCAAAUUAACUUUGCAUGAUCCAGAAACAGUUUCUCUAUCUAAAGGGAAGACAGCACAGAGGUGAGACUGAAAAGCUGCAGGUGACUCUAAUAUGUGUUUAAAGGUUGGUGUCACAAGAUUUGUACUGUGCUUGCUUCAUAAUGCAUGCCCUAGUUUACUAAUUUUCAUGAAUGGCUUUGCCUAAAUGUAAAAAUCAAUGAAGACAUUUUGAUGCUAAAAAACAAUCUAUUUAUCUAAAAGGAAUAAAAACUGAAAUUGCAAUAAAGAUUUUAUCAAACUUUAUGGUGGAAUUUAUAAUCUAUAACCUGGAUGAUCACAUUCAGUUAUACAGUGUGCUAUUUGUUCUGACAUUAGCUGAAGUGGGUAAAUAGAGAACCUGGUAAAAACUUGUGCAGAAAUUAAUCUGAAAACUCUACAGAGGCAGAAAACUAGUAUUAGUUAAGGAAAGAGAGUAAAACAAUUACAUUAAUGUUAUGUACCUGAGCUGUCCUGUUAAUGUCCUGCAAUAUGCACGCUGCAUUUAUAUCUAUUUUAGCUCAUAAGAAUCUAUGCUGCUUUUCUCCCUUCUGUUCCGCAUUAGGUUAUUUCAGCAGUAAGGAAUGGCUGCAGUGGCAGCAUGAAAAAAUAAGUGAAUUUUAUAUGCUAUCUCCUUAAAGUCACCCAUCAGUAAGUGGUGAGGAGGGCAUGAUUCUGAUGUGAUGUUUUGAUGUAUAACUGUGAAGGCUGAGACGGUCUUUAUUAAAAGUUACGAACUUCAGUGAAUUUUAAAC